CAGCAGCAGGAGCAGCAGGGACAGGAAUCCGAGAGCAGCAUGGAGGUGCAGCCGGAGCUGCUGGUGGCCGAGCCCGUCCCGCCGCGCGCCGACUCGCCGCACGAGCUGAACAGCACCGGCGGCGACUUCACGCCCCUCUUCCACGAGUCUUCCACGCCGGAGCAGGCGGCCGGCGCCGAGCCGCCGGUCUCGGACCCGGCGCGGCUCGUCGACAACUACAGCUACCUGACGUCGC